rfam:Dipodomys ordii contig_56122, whole genome shotgun sequence.
GGCUCAGUGGUAGAGCACUUGCCUUGCAUGCAUGAGGCCCUGGGUUCGAUUCCUCAG